rnacentral:rRNA from 1 species
UAUAAAGUGGCGAACGGCUGAGUAACACCGUGGGCAACCUGCCCUUUGCACUGGGAUAGCCUCGGGAAACCGAGGUUAAUACCGGAUACUCCAUAUUUGUCGCAUGGCGAAUAUGGGAAAGCUCCGGCGGCAAAGGAUGGGCCCGCGGCCUGUUAGCUAGUUGGUGGGGUAGUGGCCUACCAAGGCAAUGAUGGGUAGCCGGGUUGAGAGACCGACCGGCCAGAUUGGGACUGAGACACGGCCCAGACUCCUACGGGAGGCAGCACA